rnacentral:lncRNA from 1 species
UUUUUUCUGGGUAGAAUUCCUAUCUCAUUUAUAUUUAACUCUAUUUGUCCACUAGAAUUUCCUGAGCUCACUACAAAGGGCACACUUAAUGGGUUCCAGCUUCUUGUGGUACUAACAGGAAUUAUUGAACAUCUCUAGCAGAUUCAGCCACAAAUUUCACAGCUUAUGUGCUUUUCAACAUGUUAUCAACCUUACAAGGAAAACAGAAAACAGGGACUAUAGAGUUACAGACAAGUGAGACAACCAAAACAAUUCAAAUAUUCAAAUCUUCGACUUCAAGUAUUGAACUCACCAAUCACCACUGCUGACUGCACACUGCUGGCUGCUCGCUCAGUUGCUCGGCCGCGCCAGACGCCA